rnacentral:rRNA from 1 species
UACGGAGGGUGCAAGCGUUAUCCGGAUUCACUGGGUUUAAAGGGUGCGUAGGCGGGCAGGUAAGUCAGUGGUGAAAUCCUAGAGCUUAACUCUAGAACUGCCAUUGAUACUAUCUGUCUUGAAUAUUGUGGAGGUAAGCGGAAUAUGUCAUGUAGCGGUGAAAUGCUUAGAUAUGACAUAGAACACCUAUUGCGAAGGCAGCUUACUACGCAUAUAUUGACGCUGAGGCACGAAAGCGUGGGGAUCAAACAGGAUUAGAUACCCUGGUAGUCCACGCCCUAAACGAUGGAUACUCGACAUACGCGAUACACUGUGUGUGUCUGAGCGAAAGCAUUAAGUAUCCCACCUGGGAAGUACGUCCGCAAGGAUGAA